AAUCAUUUAUUUCUUCACGGACUCUCUCUUAUCUCUCUCUUACUAUUGCUUCCUUCUUCUUUUCCAACCCCCUCCCCUCCUUUCCUUCACUGGUUCAUCCUUUCCUCCUCUUAUUUCCUUCUCUCUUAUUUGCCCGAUGACUCGCUAUUUUCUUAACCCCACCUCCAUCCCAUUCUCCACCCCAGCCCAAUUCGGUCUUCCAUCUCUCCUCCUCCUUCCCCCUAUGCAUUAACCCUAACUCCACCACCUCUCUUUAGAUCCCAUCUCCCUCUCUUUCUUCUAAGCUUUCCACCUAUUUUUAGGUCCCCUCCACCCCAUCGUAUUUGGUCAUGCCGGUCCAACACCUCUUGAUUGACGGUCUACAUCAUGCCUAUUAUUCAUGCUCUCAAGCUAAAUUUCUCUAACUCUUAUUUUUCUUUUCGAUUCCACUUUUCUAUUUACUUCCUCUUAUAUUUUAUUUUUUCUUCUUUUUCUUUAUUUCCUCCAUCACAAAUUUUAUUUUUUCUCUUUUUAUGCUAGUCGGCUGCCUCUUACUGAUUUCUUUCAAAGUCGAUGGCUUACGCCAUGCCAACUCUCAAUCCCCUCUAAGCCAGCCAAGCAUCACAUGCUGAUGGAGUUGAUGGAACCAAUAUCAUCGACUGAGCUGAUGGAACCACUAUCCAAUAGAGUUUGUUUUCAUUACAUAAAUGGGUAGUAUACCUUUUACUGUUCUUUUUGUAUUUCUCACCUUUCCUUUUCUUUUUUGAUUCCUCACUAUAUACUAUAGUGAAGCAGAAUUGAAUGGCUAAUGUGCCUUUUUUUUUUUUUCCUUUCAUGUAACAUUCCAACCAUUCUUUUUUGCGUCCUUUGUGCAUUAUAAUUCUAUAGAAUUAAAUGGCCAAUGCACUUUUUUCCUUUCCA